GGGAAUGUGGCUUAGUGGUAGAGUGCUUGCUUAGCAUGCAUGAAGCCCAGGGUUCAAUUCCUCAGUACCA
rnacentral:tRNA from 1 species